AUAGUGUUGCCAUCAGGGCCAGGGAGGUGAUUAUUCCCCUCUACUCUGCUCUGGUGAGGCUGCACCUUGAGGACUGUGUUCAGCUAUGGAUCCCUCAGUACAAGAAGGAUGUGGAGGCCCUGCAGUGUAUCCAGAGAAGGGCUAGCAAGCUGGUAAAGGGCCUGGAACACAAGUGCUAUGAGGAGCUGGGAUUGUUCAGUCUGGAGAAGAGGAGACUCAUUAUUGCUCUCUGCAACUACCUGAAAGGAAGGUGUGGGAAGAUGACGGUUGGCCUCUUCUUACAGUGGAUUCAUUUCAUUCCUCUGUGGAGGACCAGCAUAAGGCAUAUGCAUCACUUCAAUCCUCUGAAUAGGGUUCAAACUCCUUUCCCAGAUGCAUCAAUGUCAGGUCUGUUCAACAGGAGGUGUAUACAAGAGACAUGAGAAGUUAUAAAUUUGCCAUGCCAUCUCUGCAACUUGCUUUGGGAUAAGACAGUAGGUUCCCUAUGCUCUCCAAGCUUAACAGUCUUCCUAGCUGCUGCCAAGAAAAUGGAACUGCAACCUCAGCCAAAGGAGACAGGUCCUAAGGCAGCAAGCCUCUGGGACAAAGCUCUGUUAAUA
rnacentral:lncRNA from 1 species